rnacentral:rRNA from 1 species
CUCCUACGGGAGGCAGCAGUAAGGAAUAUUGGUCAAUGGACGCAAGUCUGAACCAGCCAUGCCGCGUGGAGGAUGAAGGCCCUCUGGGUUGUAAACUUCUUUUAUCUGGGACGAAAAAGGGACUUUCUAGUUCAACUGACGGUACCCGAGGAAUAAGCACCGGCUAACUCCGUGCCAGCAGCCGCGGUAAUACGGAGGGUGCAAGCGUUAUCCGGAUUCACUGGGUUUAAAGGGUGCGUAGGUGGGCAGGUAAGUCAGUGGUGAAAUCUUUGGGCUUAACCCGAAAACUGCCAUUGAUACUAUUUGUCUUGAAUAUUGUGGAGGUCAGCGGAAUAUGUCAUGUAGCGGUGAAAUGCUUAGAUAUGACAUAGAACACCAAUUGCGAAGGCAGCUGGCUACACAUAUAUUGACACUGAUGCACGAAAGCGUGGGGAUCAAACAGGAUUAGAUACCCUGGUAGUCCACGCCCUAAACGAUGGAUACUCGACAUACGCGAUAUACUGUGUGUGUCUGAGCGAAAGCAUUAA